UAUUUCAUAAGUUAUAAUUCGCAAUCGGUUGCGUAAAUUUUUACUACAUAUAUUUUCGACGUAAAAUCACUCAGUAAUUAGUAAUUAAAAAGUGUGAGUACAAAAAUAAAUUUUCAAAAAUAUUUAUCAAGUGCACGGAGUUACCCGAGUGCUGAAAAAAAAUUCAGUGCAAUGUAUAAAUAAUUUUCCGAAAAUAAAUUCGCGUUAACGAAAAAAAAAAAAGUUCAGUGAAAGUUGUGUGUUGAUUAUUGUUAUUUUUAUGAUUAUUGUGUAUCGGCCAGAGGCUCUCAAACAAAAAGUUUAAAGAGGCCGGUUAAACUCCCGGGGCAUGACAUAAGACCCCAGAAUAUAUAGGUUUUUUAUAUAUUAUUCUGCGCUAUAUAGUUAAAAAGCAUCGACUCCUACCACCAUCCUCUACCUCAGUAUUAUAACGAAACCGUCUCCCAGAGUUUCCCUCUCGACCGCAUGCACUGUCACUUUCAAACCGACGACUCAACAUUAAACAACGAUUGUUUCUUACUCAUAAAUUAACGUACGCUUAAUAUUCAUCACUAAUUAUUUUAUUAAACAUACAAAUAUAAAACAAUAAGUAACUAGUUAAGUCCAGGAUGAAAGCCACUUUUUUUAUUUACUUUUAACCAACAGUGUCGUUCUUGUUUACAAGUGAUUAUAAUUAAAAUUUAUUUAAAACAUGUUUAAUUUUUUGCAUCACCAAACAAUUUCAAACUAAUCCAGGAUAAAUAGAAAAGUGCGCCGGAAGGUGGACGUCUUGUUUAAAUCACCAGGAAACACGCACGGCUGGACAAACCUUUUAUCGCAGUAACAAGACAUCCAAUUGGUUGUCAUCAUUGGAAAGUUAUUAUGGAUUUAUCAACAAAAACAUUAAUAAUAAGAGAAAAUACAAGCAUUUAUAUGAAUAUGGAUUUUUGAAAAAAUUCAAGAAGUUGUAAUCGAAAAAAAAAAAAAAAAAGUGAAAUGAUUUAUCUGAAGGAAAUAAACGUCAGCGAAUAUUGUACCGCGUUAAACCAGCUUAUUAAAUUAGCGGCCGUUUGAAAAGUUAAUUGAAAAUAUAAUUGAGUUGUGAUAAAAAAAUUAAAUGUGAUAUUAAUAGAGUUUUGAAUUGUUUUUGUUUAUAAGGCAUGUAAUCUGAUGGCUAGAAAAAAUUGUGAUAACUGUUAAAUAUAAUGCUGGUGGAAGUCUCUGGUCUUCGUGUUAAGCUAUGCUGGUUAGAUAAUUCAAAAAAUUAAAAUGCAGUGAUAUAAUACACAUUGUAUAAUAUGUCAGAUCGAGAAGUCAUAUGCACAUACGGUAUUCCGAUCGCAUGAGAUUAAGUAAUCGUCAGCCCACGUGAAAGUUGUUUCUCCGGUCGGUGAAGUUGCGAUUUCAAGGCACUUUUUACGAUAUCUAAAGAUCGAUACGAUAUUUUAGUAUCUUUUUUUUAUUUUAUUUUUAUUUAUUUAUUAUACAAGGAAGAAAAGUUUAACAGCUUAACUAUAUAGUUAUUAAUAACAAUAAUUAUAAUAUGAAGUGAAUUUAAAUUUUUGAAAUCGAGUCAUUUUAGUAGGGAGCUAUUCGUUUUAUAAAAUUUUUAUAUUGUUGCCUGUGAUCAACUUUUUAUAUUUUUAUCGUGUACUCAAAAAAAAAAAUGUUAGGGUUUCUUACGAGUUUUAUGUCAACCCUCUUAUUAGAGGGUGACAAACCAAUAGACCGAUUUAAUAUGGCGACGAUAAUGAUACUAUUUUUGUUAAUAACUAUUGAAGUUGUUGUAGUAAAAGUUGUUUUAUUUGAAAUUGAAAAUAAUGAAGAGAAUCAUUUUGGCGGGCAUUCGCCAUCUCUAUUUUUUGACCAUGACGAUUAGGGUAUUUUUGAUAUUUAAAUAUUUUUAUUAUUAAAAAAUGUAAUUAAGUAUUUUUGUAACUUAUGUUGUUAAGAUUGUAUAUAAAAUAUUUGUAAACUAUUUUAUAAAUAAAUUUUUUAAAUGAA